UUGGUUUCAGAUUCCAGCAUCCGCAGUAAUUUGCUGUGAGCACAAAGUCACUGCAGAGUGAGUGCAUUCGAAGAACAAGGGAGCAGCCUGGCAUGGACCUGGUCUAAUCCCUGAGCUACAGAGUGUACCCGGGACUAGAAAUAAAUUAUUGAAGAAAACAGCAUUGGCCUCUUGGAAUCAAUUGUAGCAUUUAGCAUCCAGUGUUUAAGCAGCGACUUUACGAUGGACAAACACUGACAACACUACCAUUACCAAAUUGGGAAAGCCUUCAGCCACUGACAGCUCCAGAUAUUUUCCAGGCAACAUUGUGAACUGCUGCUAUUUGGAGGGAAAUGUUCCAUCUCCUAAUAAUCUUCCCCCAGGCCGACAUCCUCAGCCCUGGGACACUAGUUACCGUCAGCGCAGGCCACAUCAUCCGCAUGGGACACAGCCUUCCAGAAUAAGCUCUCUACUCCAAGCUCUGUUACAACGAGCCACGAGGACAGCUUACCAAAAGGGCACUUCAGGGACAUCUUCAAAGCCUUGCUCAAGUGUAACAUCCCCGUCAGCUUGUGGGAAUCUCUUGACCUAGAUCCAUCUGAACUGGAGAAGGAGUAUCCAUGAAGGUAACAACAAGAUCUCCAACAGGACCAGAUGGAGGAAAAAAGCAAACUGUGGAAACAGCAAGUGAAAUCUCAAGGCUUCCCAACACCCCCCCGAUCAAACACCUUCUGCCCACCGCCUGCGGGGUAUGUGUGAUCCCGUGUUUAACUGGUUCAGGUCCACAAACAGAUUCAAGAACAGCUUCUUCCCAGCUGUUAUCAAGACUUUUGACGGACCUCUCAAAUGUUAUU